UUACGUCUGAAUGAACAAUUUUUAUACAGGGUGUAUCAUAACACGUGGCACACACUUGAGAAAUGGACAGGUGGCAGAAAAACAAGGAAAAAUGUUCGUACGAACAUGUGUUCUGUCUUCUACCUUGUUUCAAAGUUAUAAUCACUUUUGAGUUUCAAUGAACCACGUUCCGCCCGAAACACGCAAAAAUUCGCGUGACAUCUUGGUCGGAAAAGCUUGUAGCGCGAUCGUAAAGGAGGUUACUUCUGAGUUGGGGUCUUAAAGGUUAUUAGAAUUCUAUUAUUUAUUAGACUAUUAGAAUAUUUAUAAGAGGUUCUUUAGAAUUUCAUAUUACUGCGCUCGCAAUAGCCAGCCACGUAUAGUAAAUUUAAAUAAAAAAAUAUUGUAAUGAAACAAAUUGUCGAGCUUUGUUUUUAUCUGAGGCAAUAUCGCGACUCGAAUGCAAAAAAUGUUAAAUAAGAAAAGCUGCGAAGCCAUUCCAUAUUAUUAUUGUCUUAUUUAUAAGACAAUUUCUGAAGAAUUGAAUGGAACAUUUUCAAGGCAUUCGAACGUACUUUAACCUUCCAACACAAAAGCAAGGGAGGGCUACCUCCUCAGUGUACAAAGUUUAUGUCGACGUAAAGGAAUUAUUAUUAUUGCAGGCAAACACGUCCGUGCAAUUCGCAAGUGCUAAUCAUCGUAGAAGGUCUCUAUGCAAGUUCACAAUGGUCGUGCAAAAUAAUUUUGCGAUCUUUCAAAAAUUCCAGGUGUGUGUCGAACAAUACAGACAGAGUGGAGCCAUUUCGAGCACCUUCUAUGGAGAAUUAGCAACAGUAUAUGGUGUUGGAAAAGCCACGUUCGCAAGAGGUUAGAAAACAAAAACAGAAUACUGAAGAUUAUCCAAAGCACGUGGAUUCCUUUGAAAGCCCUUAACCUCAAUUGAUUCAUCAGUUUGGCCACUGUAUGCUGUAUUACCUCCUCGUAACUCCGUGGACGGAUAUAAAUUCCAGUCAACUCUUCCUCAAUGAGAAAAGGACAGUAAGCAGCUGUGACAGCAAUUAAGACAAGGGAAUCCGA